CCUACGGGAGGCAGCAGUAGGGAAUAUUGCACAAUGGGGGAAACCCUGAAGCAGCAACGCCGCGUGGAGGAUGAAGGUUUUCGGAUUGUAAACUACUUUUGGUAGAGAAGAUAAUGACGGUAUCUAACGAAUAAGCACCGGCCAACCCCGUGCCAGCAGCCGCGGUAAUACGGAGGGUGCAAGCGUUACUCGGAAUCAAUGGUCGAAAAGAGCGCGGAGGCGGGAUAGCAAGUCAGAUGUGAAAUCCUUUGGCUUAACCAUAGAACUGCAUUUGAAACUGUUAAUCUUGAGUAUGGGAGAGGGUGGUAGAAUUCCUGGUGUAGCGGUGAAAUGCGGAGAGAUCUAGAGGAAUAC
rnacentral:rRNA from 1 species